CAUAUGUGGAGGAAACUCGAGUACCCCUUCCCCUCCAUCCCCCAGUACCUGCCAGCCCUCGGGAACUCUUGCGUGCAAGGGCGGAAAACCCAAAAAUACCUACACAUGCUCUCCUCCGGUCACCUCCUCCACGCCUGCCGUUCUAACUAACAAUAAUUUUGAAAAAGGAGGAGACGGUGGAGGCCCAUCCGCUUGCGACAACAAAUACCAUGACAAUUCAGAGCGCAUCGUAGCAUUGUCAACUGGGUGGUAUAAUGGGGGAUCCCGGUGUGGAAAGAUGAUCAGGAUAACGGCUCAAAAUGGGAGGAGCGUGUUGGCCAAAGUGGUGGAUGAGUGUGACUCCAUGCACGGCUGUGACAAAGAGCAUGCAGGUCAGCCCCCCUGUGAUAAUAACAUAGUUGAUGGAUCUAAUGCUGUGUGGAAUGCUUUGGGGCUGGAUAUCAAUAUUGGUGAAGUGGACGUUACUUGGUCCAUGGCUUAGGUAUAUGGUUGGUUGGUUACUCGGUUUUUGUGUGUACGUACGUACCCUCCUCUUUGUGUUCCCCUCUCUAUUUUGGUUUGUAUGGCUCCGCCAAGCACUAUUUUUAUGUAAUUUUGCAGCAAUAUAUGCAUGCACUGAAAUAAAACUGGAAGGCACUAGCCCAGUGCCACCAGAACCCCAUUAAGUGGUUUGAUUAAUGAAGAGUGAUUUGCGUCACGAUCUACUUGAACCAUCACAUUGAUUAUUAAUGCAACGCCUAAACUACAUCAACUUCCAAUGAGUAUUUUAUAUUAAUUUGACAUUGAGAUUCACCUUAUAUAUAGCAAUACUGAUCUUGGGAAAAUACAUAUUUUAAAAUUAAAAAGUUGUAAAAUCGAAAGAAACUUAAAAAGUAAAAAGAAAGAAAAGAAAAGAACAUAGAAGGUCUUAUCUAAUGGGUGGUACUAGAUCACUUUGAUGAGGUCGCAGUGAAGAAAUUAACAAGAUCCCCAGGAAAGAGAUGCUGUGCAAUAAGAAAUAUCAUCCUGGAACCCAAAUAUAAAAAGCCCCAUGGAGUUAUUGACGGGUACAUCAGUCAUAUAUAUACAUAUAUAAUACUUUGUCUUGAUCUAUACUUUUCAACAGUUUUUCUAUUAUUGUCUAUCCUAAUACAAGAUAAUUUAACUGAUAAAAGCCUAAGUGCCUUAUACCUAAACCAGAUUUCAUAUCUAUUUAUCUAUUAAAUAAUUUAAAAUAAAAUAAAAUAAUUAAAGUUAGAACACAAAUUAACUCUGAGAUAUGGAACUUAAAUGUUGAUUUUGUCACUUACUAGUCCAUAUUCAAAGUUGGGUUGUAGAAACCCAAUCUUGAUUAGUUGAAUUAAAAAUCAAUAAUUAGGGAAGAUAAAAAAAAACCAAUCAACACACAAAAUAAAAUAUUUUUAACAUGGAAAACUUUCAUGCAAUAUGAAGAAAUAAAAAGUCAGAAGUCAUAAACUUCAAAUCUACAUCUAUUAUAUGAGAAUACAAUACACACUUUUAUCUAGCAGAUUGCAUUUGAAUCUCAUCUUAGCGCUUAAAAUGAUGCAAAUCUCCUUCACAAUCCAACAAAGACAAACAUGAACACUUCCUUGAAAGCUUUAAGAAUAAGAAGACAAAUUACAUUUUCCAGCUAGAAAAACUAAGCCAAAAACCUUUUUGAGUAAGGUAUAUGUACGCCCACAGACUUAGUGGACCAAUUCUCAAAAAAUCCUCAUGCAAUUUAAAUCCUUUAAAAUUGGAAAGAGAAAACUUUAGAAUUCUAGAGGAUUCUAUGUCGAGUGCUCAAGCACCCUCAUAUAGGGAUGACAACGGGGUGGGUUCGGGACAGGUCGCCCCCAUCCCAACCCCACCCCGUUUAUUCGAAAUAAUUCUCAUUCCCAUCCCAUUUAAAAAAUUAAACGGGAUGGGACGGGCCGAGGCGAGUAUGAUAAAUUUUCAUACUUGUCCUGUUUAACUUUUUUUUUUUUUUAAUUUUUUUUAAAAAAAUUACUUUUAAAUUUUUAAUUAUAUUAAAAUAAAUAUAUUUUAUAAAUAAUUAAAUUAUUAUAUUUUUUAUAACUUAUUUUAUUAAAAAUAUUUUAUUAUUAUCUAUAUAUUAAAAAUAAUAAAAUAAAAAUUAAAUUAAAUUAAUUUUAAAUUAUAAAUUAAAUUAAAUUUAAAAAUUAAUUUUAUAUAUAAUCGGAGCAGGGCUGGGUGGAGUGGGGCAAUACCCGAACCAGUCCCGAGUUUUUAAAAAAAUUCUCAAACUCAUCACAAACCUAUUUAUUAAAAUUAAACUCCGUCCCAUUAGAGACGGGACGAGGCGGGUACCCGAAUAAACCCGCCCCAUUGCCAUCCCUACCCUCAGAGCAUUUGAGUGCUUCUCAAGCAUUGAAUCCAGGCUUCAAGGUUCAUGUAGUUUUUAAACCCUAAAAAAAAAUUCAUUUUGAUCAAUUUUAAAAACUCGAUGGAUGUCAUGCUACACCAACUACUAAUUUGUCUUUCUAAGACAUUUCUAUACUUACCAAACUCAAUCGAUGCCAUGUUAUACCAAAAUAUGUAUAUAUAAACCAUUUUAACAAGAUUUUAUUGAUUUUAGUUUUUAAAAAUAGUUUUUUAUUAACCAUAUUUUAGUAAAGGGAAAAAGAGAAAUUCUUAUUAGUAAAUGUUUUCUAAAACAAAUGGAACCCAAAACUCUAAAUGUGCUUUAGAAAUUUUUUGGAAAACCAAAACCUGUUUUCUAAAAGGUUGAAAGAAAGAUAAUAAACAAAAUCUUGUGAGAUCCUUCUAUAUGAAUAUCAUAAAUAUAAAUGAAAAUGAAAAUGAAUAAAAUUACACAAUAUAGCAUGACUUAUCUGUAUAUAUUUGAAAUAUAAUAUUCUUUUAUAAGUGUUAUUACAAUUUAAAGUUAUAUCAAGUAUAUAUAUUUUUUCAUAUUAGGUUAAUUCAUUUUAUUAUAUUUUAUAAAUAGAUUUAAACUUUUUCUUGCAUUAUUUUAAAAUAAAAUUAGAGUAAAGGAAAUGUAAAAUAUAUGAACAAAUUUAAUUUUAGUGUUUUUAUUUGAUUAAGAAAUAAACAAGAAAUAAAAUUUUAUACUUUUUAUUUUUAAAAACGAAUUUUCAUUUUGCUCAACCGAAAGCCUUUUCAAAGUGAUCAUUGUCAAGAGUAUGGGCAACCAAAGGCAGCUAGAGGUUUAGUUGUAGUGUGUAGCAUGUGCAAAGACUUUGAAUUCAAGCCAUAAACGUGCACUACCUCUCUCUCCCUUAGUUGCAUUUGUCAUGUUCUCUUGUGAUGAUCUCCUUUAGAUGCUUAGACCCUUUGGGUCACGUGAACUAGUGGCAAGAAAAAUGAAUUGAUUUCAUGAUGGAGAGUGUAGGGACCCCUCCCCUUGGGAAACACGUGGCACGCGGCUCAUGGUGACGCGUGGCACGUGCUGUCAGCCGGACCAUCAUCAUCCGGAUUCCCCUACAGAUACGUAUGGUGCGACUAUCCUAUCCGGAACCCCCCAAGGAAAGACAAACAACGUUUCAGCUUCUCCUAUCCAAGGAAGAGCAAACGACGCUGGCAGAACGUAGACACCCGGAUAGUCUCCACAAACACAUCCGGAUAUUCAGCAUGAUCCAUCCGGAUAUAAAUCGUCUGGAUGGUCAAUUAAAGUAAAGCGAGUCUUACACGCAAUCACAACAAGCAGCCAUGGCCCACAUCCCAUCACCUGCAGAAUGAGAAGACAAGAGGAAGUGACAGCAAGUCACUUCCCACGAUCAUUCUGCAUAAUCGCUUCCCACGAUCUCUGACAGCCGCAUCACCUACCAUGGUCUCUGACAGCCAUUCGUAGGAUGAUAGUGCUCCUACUAACACCUAUUGUCAUCAUCACAACAGAAAAUAUCUCCCCACCAUUAAUGAGAGGAACAGUACCCCUGAAGCUGUAUAUAUAUGACUUCACACGAAGAAGAAAGGGAUGAUCUCCCGGUAACCUCUUGACACCUAGUAAAAGGCCAACUGCCUCAUAUAUCUUAUUCUCUUAUCAUGGCUAACAACAUCAUCGGAGGGUGCAUCCGGACACCUUGUCCGGAUGCCUUUUUACAGGUACAACCACUGAAUCAAGAACCCCUUGUGUGUUGAGAAUCGCGUGUCCAUCCAUCUAGCAGCAACGCGGCCCACCUGAUACGCGAGGUGACAACAUUGGCGCCGUCUGUGGGAACCUUUUACUUUUUAUUUUGAUUCAGUCACUAGCAAAGAUGGCCACACCUUCCCAAAGUCGAUCAUCUGGUAGAGAGGAAGAAGAUAAUCACGAAUGGCGUCAAGCCAUCGAAAAAAGACAGUUGGCGAGCGAAAAACAGCUAAGAGCUCUCCUCCAGGAGACGGAGAGGUUAAGGGAAGAAAACGCUGUGUUACGCAUUCAAGCCUCAACAUCAAGACCUCCUCGUCGUCAGCGCUCAAAAGGUCAAGUGGCGAACUCAAGGCCAGAGCCAGAAUCAAUAUAUCCUGGGUCAACAGGAGCUGUCCCAGGAACAUACAACGCAAGGCCCCAUGAGCCACGCACACCCAUGCCUCGAGCUCCCCGUGAGGAAAGCUCAGAUUCCACUCAUUUCUCAGCAAAAAGACAACGUGAUAGAAAAUCACAGUUGUCAAGUUCUAUGCGCGCAAGACUAGACCCACAGGAGCCUGGGAGAUCAAGGCCACCAGUAGCCACAACUCGGGCGCCACGCCCCGAUCCUAUGAUUGCUCCCAUGGUGCAGAACGUACCUCCGCAUCGUGACCCCAUGGUCACCCCAGCGAUGCGGAACGUUCACUCACACCUAGCGGAACGAUCACUCACACCUAGCGGAACGACCAGCUGGGAGAAACCUCCCAAACGAGCCACCCAUUGGCUCCAUCAGCAAAAGGCUGGAUGACAUGCUCUCCACGCCCUUUUGCUCUCAUAUCACCCAUUACGAGCCCCCAAGAGGAUUUCUCGUACCAAAGUUUUCCACAUACGAUGGGACCAACGAUCCCUUCGAUCACAUCAUGCACUAUCGACAGCUUAUGACGCUCGAUAUUGGCAACGAUGCAUUAUUAUGCAAAGUAUUCCUUGCCAGCCUUCAAGGGCAGGCCCUUUCAUGGUUUCAUCGCCUACCUCCUAACUCUGUUGACAAUUUUAGGGACCUCUCUGAAGCAUUCGUGGGACAGUACUUAUGCUCUGCUCGACACAAGCAGAAUAUCAGCACCCUCCAGAACAUAAAAAUGAAAGACAACGAAUCCUUGAGGGAAUUUGUGAAACGAUUUGGCCAAGCCGUACUCCAAAUAGAGGUUUGCAGCAUGGACGCUGUCCUACAGAUCUUCAAAAGAAGCAUCUGUCCAGGCACCCCAUUUUUCGAAUCGCUGGCAAAAAAACCUCCUACAACGAUGGACGAUUUGUUCAGACGCGCUAACAAAUAUUCAAUGCUCGAAGAUGACGUACGUGCAGCCACUCAGCAAGUUUUGGUUGCCGGACGGGCUUCUAGAGAUAACGUGGACAGACAUGCCAAACCUCCGGACCGGCCAAAACCAAUUGACCGGAGGCAGGACGGGCCGAGUCGUCCGGAUAGGCCGUCCAUCACACCCCUAUCCAUAUCAUACGAAAAACUUCUCCCAAUGAUCCAAGGGUUGUCCGACUUCAGGUGGCCUAGACCCCUCGAAACGGACCCAUCUAUAAGAGACCGCAGCAAGAAAUGCGCCUUCCACAAAGACCAUGGUCAUACAACAAAGACAUGUCGGUCCCUCCAGUAUCUAGUUGAGAGGCUCAUCAAAGCAAGACAUUUAAAACAGUACCUCCCCUCAGAUACUGGAGGAAGGGACGCAUCACAGCAUCAUAACUCUGGGGCCCCGAGGGCCCCAGUCGCCCCCAAGGCUGUCAUAAACUAUAUCAACGGGGGCCCAUCUGACGAGGAAUACGAUUCCAGGCGGAAAAGACAGAAAUUGCUGCGAGCCGCGUCAAUACGCGAACGCAUUAAUUCCAUCCGGCCGGGUCUUACUGGGGAGGGCCCUCGCCCCAUUGAUGGGACAAUCAUUUUCCCACCAGUAGAUCCCACCCGAACGCUACAGCCACAUCGCGACGCCCUCAUCCUCUCUCUAGAAAUAGGAGAUUUUGAUGUAAGACGUAUCUUGGUUGAUCCAGGCAGUUCAGCCGAUCUAGUACAAGCAUCAGUCAUUGGCCAUAUGGGACAUAGUCCCGCGGGUCUCGAAAACCCCGGACGAAUCUUAUCCGGAUUCAACGGAUCAUCAACAACAUCCUUAGGAGACAUUAUACUGCCGAUUCGAGCUGGACCAGUCACUCUCAACGUGCAAUUCUCGGUGGUACAAGAGUUGUCACCCUUCAAUGUCAUCUUGGGACGCACAUGGCUUCACUACAUGAAAGCCAUCCCUUCCACAUAUCAUCAAAUGGUGAGUUUCCUCACCAACGAAGGGCAAACUGACUUGUAUGGCAGCCAGUUAGCCGCUCGCCAGUGCUACCAAAUAGCACGUGAAGCAGUCGCUAACCAGGAGGAUGCAUCUCCCCCUGAACCUAGCAUUGCGCACGACCAAUAGCAAUUAUUGGGUCCGGUGGACAAGGAUCCCCCGGUAGCAGAUCCCUUACAAACAAUCCAAAUCUCAGAAGAGAAUGAUCACCUCACAAACGUCAGUUCCCUCAUGACACAAGAAGAAACCCAGAGCAUACAAAAUAUCCUUCGAAGCAACCAUGACAUCUUCGCAUGGACACAUUCGGAUAUGAAGGGAAUUCAUCCCUCUAUCGCCUCUCACAAGCUUAACGUCCUUCCAGCAGCCAGACCCAUUCGACAGAAGAUUAGACGCUUUCACCCGGAUAGACAAAGAGUUAUCCAAGAUGAAAUUAACAAAUUGUUGGAAGCAGGAUUCAUCAGAGAGGUAUCUUAUCCGGAUUGGUUGGCAAAUGUAGUAGUGGUACCAAAGAAAGAGGGCAAAUGGCGAGUCUGUGUUGAUUACACCAAUCUCAAUAAUGCAUGCCCAAAAGACAGUUUUCCCUUACCACGGAUAGAUCAAAUUGUGGAUUCCACUUCCGGGCAAGGGAUGCUCUCUUUCUUGGAUGCCUUCUCCGGAUAUCACCAAAUUCCCAUGUCUCCGGAUGACGAAGAAAAAACAGCAUUCAUAACGCCACACGGCCUCUAUUGCUACAAAGUCAUGCCAUUCGGACUCAAAAACGCUGGCGCCACGUAUCAAAGAUUGAUGACUAAAAUCUUCAAACCUCUGAUAGGCCGCUCGGUCGAGGUAUACAUUGACGAUAUCGUGGUUAAAAGCAAAACUCGAGAGCAGCAUAUCCUCCAUCUACAAGAAGUAUUUUACCUCUUGCGAAAGUACGACAUGAAGCUAAAUCCUUCCAAAUGUGCCUUUGGCGUGAGUGCUGGCAAGUUUCUGGGAUUUAUGGUCAGCCAAAGAGGCAUAGAAGUCAGCCCGGAUCAAGUCAAAGCAGUCAUGGAGACACCUCCCCCCAGGAACAAAAAGGAGUUACAACGCCUCACAGGCAAGCUCGUUGCGUUAGGACGUUUUAUAGCCCGCUUCACUGAUGAGUUGCGACCCUUCUUCUUAGCGAUACGAAAAGCUGGAACCCAGGGAUGGACGGACAAUUGCCAAAACGCGUUGGAAAGAAUUAAACAUUGUCUUAUGCAUCCACCCAUCUUGAGCAGCCCCAUCCCAAAGGAAAAGCUAUAUAUGUAUUUAGCUGUCUCAGAAUGGGCAAUCAGCACCGCUCUAUUCCGCUGCCCUUCACCAAAGGAGCAGAAACCUGUCUACUAUGUCAGCAGGGCAUUGGCAGAUGUAGAAACCAGGUAUUCAAAAAUGGAGCUAACAGCCUUAGCUCUUCGAAGUGCUGCCCAAAAGCUCCGCCCCUAUUUUCAAGCCCACCCAGUGAUUGUACUGACCGAUCAACCCCUUCGCAGCAUUCUACACAAACCAGAUUUAACUGGGCGAAUGCUACAAUGGGCCAUCGAAUUGAGCGAAUUUGGAAUCGAAUUCCAACCCAGAUUAUCCAAAAAAGGCCAAGUAAUGGCCGACUUUGUGCUCGAAUAUUCACGAAGACCCAACCAGCACCACGAAUCAAGUGAACAGGAGUGGUGGACACUACGAGUUGACGGAGCCUCGCGCUCAUCAGGCUCUGGAGUUGGGCUCGUAUUACAGUCCCCAACUAGGGAACAUCUGGAGCAAACCAUCCGGUUGGGAUUCUCCGCGUCUAACAAUGAGGCAGAAUACGAGGCCAUCCUGUCCGGAUUGGACCUCGCCCUUGCUCUAUCUGUCUCCAAACUCCGGAUCUACAGCGACUCGCAACUAGUGGUAAGGCACAUCCAGAAAGAAUAUGAGGCUAAGGACUCACGCAUGGCGCGAUACUUGGCCAAAGUAAGAAGCACCUUACAGCAAUUCACCGAGUGGACAAUCGAAAAAAUUAAGCGAGCUGACAAUAGGCACGCUGACGCUUUGGCCGGCAUAGCUGCCUCUCUACCUAUCAAAGAAGCCAUUCUAUUGCCCAUAUAUGUGCAAGCCAAUCCCUCUGUCGCAGAAAAUUCCACUUGCAACACCAUUGAGGCAACCCAAACGGAUAAUCAAGAAUGGACGCAGGAUAUUGCAGAAUAUAUCCGGACAGGCACUUUACCCAAAGAUCUUAAACAAGCACACAAAAUCCGGGUGCAGGCUGCCCGCUUCACCCUGAUCGGGGGANNNNNNNNNNNNNNNNNNNNNNNNNNNNNNNNNNNNNNNNNNNNNNNNNNNNNNNNNNNNNNNNNNNNNNNNNNNNNNNNNNNNNNNNNNNNNNNNNNNNNNNNNNNNNNNNNNNNNNNNNNNNNNNNNNNNNNNNNNNNNNNNNNNNNNNNNNNNNNNNNNNNNNNNNNNNNNNNNNNNNNNNNNNNNNNNNNNNNNNNNNNNNNNNNNNNNNNNNNNNNNNNNNNNNNNNNNNNNNNNNNNNNNNNNNNNNNNNNNNNNNNNNNNNNNNNNNNNNNNNNNNNNNNNNNNNNNNNNNNNNNNNNNNNNNNNNNNNNNNNNNNNNNNNNNNNNNNNNNNNNNNNNNNNNNNNNNNNNNNNNNNNNNNNNNNNNNNNNNNNNNNNNNNGAGUCCGGACUGUAGAUCGCGCGUCAAACGCGGCUUCUUGAGGGGAGGCCCUUUCACCAGGACUAUAGCCAGGCGAUCCGGGUCGUCGGAAGGCUGACUUUGGCUUUCUGCUCCCGCUUCCUCCAACGGGGCCGUUUCAGCUGCAUCAGCAUCCGGAUUAAGGUUGCCCGGACGGUUGAUAGAUGCAGCUUCCUCAGCCACGUUAGCCAGACGCGCAGCCGCGACCAAGGAAGGACCUGAGUGAUUCAACCCCGACAUGCGUCCGGGGCCGCUUGAGAUAGAGUGCGGAGCAGCAUUUACUGGCUCCUCUAUCAUUACUUCCCCCUCAUAGGUAGUUUGGGGAGGAGGAAACUGCUUGGGAGGAGUGGGUUCCUUCAUGUCCUUCCCAUGCUUCUUCACCAGCUUCCCCCUUUUUCCUGAAGUUUUCUUUGGAGGAGAGUCCGGACCCCGCUUCUGUCCGGGAGCCUUCCGGAUAGUGCCUUCAGUUUUUUUCUGAUCUCUAUCCUCCAGGAGCUUUCGCCGCCUUUCAGCGUCAGCCUCUUUGGCUUCCUGACAGAGGGGGAGCUCCUUCACAGUAUAAUGCUCCCCAGGCACUAUCUCAUCCUUUGCCAAUUUCCUAGGAAGAAUAUUGAUAACAUAUUCCUGGGGCUCCCGGACGACCUCCGUCAAAUUCCGCGCGGAAAGCAAUGUUUUGUAGGCCCUCUCCUUGGGGUCUAUUUCAAAUAAUUUGCAGACGCAGGCAAAGGACGCCUUUUCCACCCAAUCCACAAGGUGGCCCCUCAAUUCCAAACCUGCAUUGUCAGCAACAAAGGGUGAGAAUUCUGUCCGGAAAAAUCAGAAAAAAUCAGCAAAGCAAAAUCCGAAUAAAAAAUCGCAAAACAAGAUUACCCGGGAUUUGUAAGGUAUAAUUCGGAGAAAAAGGCCUCGACGGAUGCUGCGAUAGCCCCGCCCAUCCACCCCAGACUGCCACCAGCCCCUUCGCCCCUCCCUUUGUCGAAUCUGGCAGUUCUGUCACCAUUUGAAGGGAGGGCAGGUGAGCGGACACACUGAAGAUAUCAUUCUUUGCUUUCUUCAGGGAAUAGACAAAGAACAAUUCCAGUAGCGUAAGGUCGAGGCUGUACAGCAUGUUGAUAAUGCUGCAUCCCAUCAGCACCCGGACAAGGUUGGGAUGAAUGAAGAUGGGUGGAAUCUGAGAGAAGUGGAGGAAUUCCUUGAACAAGGCUGGCAGAGGGAACCGGAGCCCCGCGUUGAAUUGUUCCUUUGUGAAGAGGAUAGCGUUUUUUCCACCUUUCUCAGUAGGAAUAGCCGCCUCCUCGUUCACCAGGUCUAUCAAUACGUCAUGGGGGAUGCGGAAUCGCUCCCGGAACUCCUUCGCAUUUANNNNNNNNNNNNNNNNNNNNNNNNNNNNNNNNNNNNNNNNNNNNNNNNNNNNNNNNNNNNNNNNNNNNNNNNNNNNNNNNNNNNNNNNNNNNNNNNNNNNAAUCUGGCAGUUCUGUCACCAUUUGAAGGGAGGGCAGGUGAGCGGACACACUGAAGAUAUCAUUCUUUGCUUUCUUCAGGGAAUAGACAAAGAACAAUUCCAGUAGCGUAAGGUCGAGGCUGUACAGCAUGUUGAUAAUGCUGCAUCCCAUCAGCACCCGGACAAGGUUGGGAUGAAUGAAGAUGGGUGGAAUCUGAGAGAAGUGGAGGAAUUCCUUGAACAAGGCUGGCAGAGGGAACCGGAGCCCCGCGUUGAAUUGUUCCUUUGUGAAGAGGAUAGCGUUUUUUCCACCUUUCUCAGUAGGAAUAGCCGCCUCCUCGUUCACCAGGUCUAUCAAUACGUCAUGGGGGAUGCGGAAUCGCUCCCGGAACUCCUUCGCAUUUAGUUUAUCUAUCGCCUUUUCGCCAGCCUCGCUGACCCGGACAGACGAAACAGUCUUUUUUGGAGUCAUUUCUUACCACAAAGCCAAAGCAAAAUCUACACGCAAAAACAAUGCAAACGGUCCAGACCAAGCAAUCAGAAAAUACACAAACUCAAAGCAGUCAGAAAAACCCCUCAAAAACCCCUCCAAACAAACAACAAAGUACCAACAUUAAACAAACAAUUGCAAGCGACUUGUUCAAAACAAAGCCAGGAACCAAGUUUAAAGAACCGGCAAACGCAACCAAAGGAAUGACAAUAGCAAAGAGGUACGUACCAAAUAGAGCUCUGGAGAAGAAAAACGGUUACUCUCUCGGUAUAAAAUCACCGGCAACAAACAAACGAGGUCGUUCGAAGUUUUUCUCAGAAAAGCAAAGGACGCAGAAAAAGUAAGAAGAAGGAAGGCUCUCAAGAGAAUGCAGUAGAAAAAAUACAAAAAGAGGUACAGUGCCCUAUUUAUAGCAGGACAGCCCCUCGGAAAGCCAAACCAACAGCCGUGUUAUCAUUGAAACGACAUAUUGCCUGGGGAUACACAGGGUCGGCGGCUCGCCAUAAAUGCCUUUUUUGGCUUUCGCACCCCCACUCGCCACGUGGCUAAGUUAGACGAAUGGACUUUUUCAAUUUUCAAAAACCCAGUUAUUUUUAACCCGCCCAUUUUUUGGCAAAAUAAGCAAGUUAAAAAGGGGGGCAAUGUAGGGACCCCUCCCCUUGGGAAACACGUGGCACGCGGCUCAUGGUGACGCGUGGCACGUGCUGUCAGCCGGACCAUCAUCAUCCGGAUUCCCCUACAGAUACGUAUGGUGCGACUAUCCUAUCCGGAACCCCCCAAGGAAAGACAAACAACGUUUCAGCUUCUCCUAUCCAAGGAAGAGCAAACGACGCUGGCAGAACGUAGACACCCGGAUAGUCUCCACAAACACAUCCGGAUAUUCAGCAUGAUCCAUCCGGAUAUAAAUCGUCUGGAUGGUCAAUUAAAGUAAAGCGAGUCUUACACGCAAUCACAACAAACAGCCAUGGCCCACAUCCCAUCACCUGCAGAAUGAGAAGACAAGAGGAAGUGACAGCAAGUCACUUCCCACGAUCAUUCUGCAUAAUCGCUUCCCACGAUCUCUGACAGCCGCAUCACCUACCAUGGUCUCUGACAGCCAUUCGUAGGAUGAUAGUGCUCCUACUAACACCUAUUGUCAUCAUCACAACAGAAAAUAUCUCCCCACCAUUAAUGAGAGGAACAGUACCCCUGAAGCUGUAUAUAUAUGACUUCACACGAAGAAGAAAGGGAUGAUCUCCCGGUAACCUCUUGACACCUAGUAAAAGGCCAACUGCCUCAUAUAUCUUAUUCUCUUACCAUGGCUAACAACAUCAUCGGAGGGUGCAUCCGGACACCCUGUCCGGAUGCCUUUUUGCAGGUACAACCACUGAAUCAAGAACCCCUUGUGUGUUGAGAAUCGCGUGUCCAUCCAUCUAGCAGCAACGCGGCCCACCUGAUACGCGAGGUGACAACAGAGAGGUCAUCAUGCUCAUCCUAGUGCCAAUUAACUCAAAACAACUAAGGAUAAUUCUAUGAUGGGGUAAUUAUCGAACAAGGUGAUAUUACAUGAUAAGAAAAAGGUUUAUUUGAUAUCUCAAUAUAAUUUGAUAUUUAGGUUGCUUAAAAAGAUUAAAAUGAGAUUGAAGAAUGAUCCGUCAUUUUCGAAUUGUGUGGCGGGUCGAGUGUGGGGAACAUCAUCCUAAGAGUAAAGCCACGCCAGAGAGAAGUCCCACUGGCACUGAAAUCAAGGCAACUAGAAGAAAAGGCUUCAGUUACGUCGUCAACCGAAAGAGUUGAAGUGAAGCCAUCCAGAUGAGGCAUUAACUGCAAAGAAAAAACAAAACAUGUGGCUGCUUAAUUUCUUGAUAUGGUGGAGCCGCAUGAGGGCAUGAGUUGAGUAUAUAAGUGGAUGCAAGCUUCAUUCCUUGACCAUUAAGCCUCUUUGGGUUACUGAAUACUGAGAGUAGAACCAAAUUGCAAUGGCAAAUUCACCUGUAGUGUGGUUAGCAUCCGUGUGGCUUGUGUCCAAUAUAUUGUCCCUUCCAUUCCUGGAAUUGGGUAUAUCUUCUUGUGGUGGCUCAUGUCAAACACUUAAUGACUGUGAAGGUCAGCUCAUGCAUCGAUGGUAAAUGUAACGACGAUCCCGAGGUCGGGACUCACAUAAAUGGAGGAAGUUCAAUUACCCCUCCACCUCCACCUCCCGGUACCUGCCAGCCCUCCGGAACUCUUGCGUGCAAUGGUGGAAAACCCAAAAAUACCUACACAUGCUCUCCUCCGGUCACCUCCUCCACGCCUGCCGUUCUAACUAACAAUAAUUUUGAAAAAGGAGGGGACGGUGGAGGCCCAUCCACUUGCGACAACAAAUACCAUGACAAUUCAGAGCGCAUCGUAGCAUUGUCAACUGGGUGGUAUAAU
rnacentral:lncRNA from 1 species